GUACCCAUCCAUUCCCAAAUUAAAAUCUCGUCUCCUUCCUUUCACAUUCAAUUCAUCAUCUCCUUCAUCCUUCUUCUCAGGUAUGUUUGCGAGAUAAUAGUGUGUAUAUGAAAUACCAAUUCCCUAUUUGUGGAUGAUAAUAGGCCCAAUUUGCUAUUAUGAAUUCUGUGAGGCUGACAGCCACCACCAUCAAAGAUUGUGGAGGGUUUUGAAGGAAAGCACAACAUUGAUAUCUACUACAAGAAUGAGUGAAUAGUUGUUGUGAAGAAGGUUGAAUGCGGUUCAGAAUUUAUCCCUUUUAGGUUUUUGGACCUCCGAGUUCACAUGGUUUGGCUUAGUGGGUGCUUGGUUCGGCUACAUCAGCUCAAAGUGGAUUCAGACUAUGUUUAGUUUUCUCUAGUCCCCAAAACCACAUGGUAGUAGUUUUUGAAGCUAUAUGACAUUCUAGGUUCUUCAAUUUUUGUUAGAUAUUCGCAAUAUAAUCAAUUAUGUUUGCCUUUCAUCUAGUAAUACUACUAUGGAAAGAGUUUGUUCAACAAUUUUGAUGGGUAGAAAAAUGGCUGGUUCAGUUAUUUUGUGGAGGCUAGAUGUAGCUUAAGAUUCAUCCAUGAUAAGUUUUCAACUAUCAGUUUCACAUAUUGUACAAAUUAAUAUUUGGUUCGUGUUGUAUUGUUAUCAGGAAGUUUGUUUUUUAAA